GCACCAAGAUGGCGGAGCGGUCUAG
rnacentral:siRNA from 1 species